rnacentral:rRNA from 1 species
UGGGGAAUUUUGGUCAAUGGACGCAAGUCUGAACCAGCCAUCCCGCGUGGAGGAUGAAGGCCCUAUGGGUCGUAAACUUCUUUUAUACACCAAGAAAAAGCAGGACGAGUCCUGCCCCGACGGUAGUGUAUGAAUAAGCAUCGGCUAACUCCGUGCCAGCAGCCGCGGUAAUACGGAGGAUGCGAGCGUUAUCCGGAUUCAUUGGGUUUAAAGGGUGCGUAGGCGGCUUUUUAAGUCAGUGGUGAAAUCUUGCCGCUUAACGGUAAAAUUGCCAUUGAUACUGAUAAGCUUGAGUACAAUUGAGGUAAGCGGAAUGUGUAGUGUAGCGGUGAAAUGCUUAGAUAUUACACAGAACACCGAUUGCGAAGGCAGCUUACUAAACAGUAACUGACGCUGAUGCACGAAAGCGUGGGGAGCGAACA